rnacentral:rRNA from 1 species
UACAGAGGCCCCGAGCGUUAUCCGGAAUCAUUGGGCGUAAAGGGUGUCAAGGCGGUCAUGUUAGUCGUUCGUUAAAUCUGGGGGCUCAACCUCCAGCCUGCGAGCGAAACGGCAUGACUUGAGGGUGGGAGAGGUGCGUGGAACUCACGGUGUAGGGGUGAAAUCCGUUGAUAUCGUGGGGAACACCAAAGGCGAAGGCAGCGCACUGGCCCAUUCCUGACGCUCACACACGAAAGCCAGGGUAGCGAAUGGG